rnacentral:snRNA from 1 species
CUCGCUUCUCAGCCUUUUGGCUAAGAUCAAGUGUAGUAUCUGUUCUUAUCAGUUUAAUAUCUGAAACGUCACCUGCCCGGGGACCACGUUGUUUUGGGGCAUCAGUAGUUCAGUGUUUAGGGCCUUGGCUUGGGAACCGGAGGGUUGUUGGUUCAAGUCCCACAGACCACAUUAU